CCGUCCGCGUCGGGAUACCAUCCAUGCAUUCAACGAAUCAACCUGCACGUCAGGUCAGGUCUUCUGGAAAAUUUGGUUUCGGCAGUGGAUUUCAUUCGUGGAAUUUCCAGGGUCGCAGGCUUGGUUGUAGUGCCUCGCGGUAGCGCCGAGCGGGGAUAUAUCUGGGCAGUGAGAAAUUUCCUCAGCGGAUUCUUCUUCUGAGUCUGACUUCCUCUCCAAAAACAAGUGCCGUUUUCUCUAGCUUGUCAUGGCCGUUGACUUUUCGUGGACUUACCUUUAGUUGCUUAUCUUGCACAGUGCCUGAUAAUUGUACUCUGUCCGUUAUGAAAUACUUCCUCCAUCCCAAAUUGUAGAUCGUUUUGGUAUUUCUAGAUUAAUAAUUUUCACUAUGUAUCUAGACAUAGUGUAUAUCUAGAUCAAUAGUAAAAACUAUGUAUCAAACUAAAAAUACCAAAACGACUUACAAUUUGGGACGGAUGAACAAAUCUUUACUUUCAAAAUUUGUCCACAAGUAUAAUGGACGAUCAGUAUUUUAGGGGUCUUCAUCUUAACUCACGGUUAACAAAACAUCAUUUUAUUAUAAAAAACCCUUCCGUGUCUGGAGGUAACUUGUGCUCCUUAAUAUAGUCGAUUAAGGGGGUUCUGCAGUCUCCAUCGUUCAUCACAACUCCCGGUCUGGUGUAUCAUGACAUUGAUCGAUGGUUUUUGAUGGCAC
rnacentral:lncRNA from 1 species